CAGUCGCCGCGGUAAGACAGAGGGUGCAAACGUUGUUCGGAAUUACUGGGCGUAAAGCGUGUGUAGGCGGCUUCGCAAGUCGGAUGUGAAAGCCCCGGGCUCAACCCGGGAAGUGCACUCGAUACUGCGGAGCUAGAGUGUCGGAGAGGUUGGUGGAAUUCUCGGUAUAGAGGUGAAAUUCGUAGAUAUCGAGAGGAACACCGGUGGCGAAGGCGGCCAACUGGACGAACACUGACGCUGAGACACGAAAGCGUGGGGAGCAAACAGGAUUAGAUACCCCCGUAGUCCCUGUCUCUUAUAC
rnacentral:rRNA from 1 species